rnacentral:rRNA from 1 species
AUUGAACGCUGGCGGUAUGCUUAACACAUGCAAGUCGAACGGUAACAGGCCUAGCUUGCUAGGUGCUGACGAGUGGCGGACGGGUGAGUAACGCGUGGGAAUCUGCCUUAUUGUGGGGGAUAACCUGGGGAAACUCAGGCUAAUACCGCAUGAGCCCUAAGGGGGAAAGGAUGGGACCGAAAGGCCAUUCGCGAUAAGAUGAGCCUGCGUUGGAUUAGCUAGUUGGUGGGGUAAAGGCCUACCAAGGCGAGGAUCCAUAGCUGGUCUGAGAGGACGAUCAGCCACACUGGGACUGAGACACGGCCCAGACUCCUACGGGAGGCAGCAGUGGGGAAUAUUGGACAAUGGGGGGCAACCCUGAUCCAGCAAUACCGCGUGUGUGAAGAAGGCCUGCGGGUUGUAAAGCACUUUCAGUGGGGAGGAAGAGCUCGGUGCUAAUAGUAUCGAGUUGAGACGUUACCCACAGAAGAAGCACCGGCUAACUCUGUGCCAG